CCCAGCUCUAAGUCAGCUGACCAGACAACAUGUCUGAUUCAGUGUUACAGUGCUGGUAGAGCAAGUCUCUGUACUUGGCCUCAGCUGUGCAGGUUCUGUUUUAGAUUCUGCUGUUGAGCUGCUGCAGAGCGUGGCUCAAUGAGAGUGGCCUGUCCUGAUCUAAUAGCAGGCCAGGCCUAGUAUCGGGCUGCACAUC